rnacentral:misc_RNA from 1 species
AACCGGCUCCCCCCCGACUCGCUCGUUCGCGCAUCGCCUUCGCUACGAGGCUCUUCUGUGGCGUUUCGCCGGUUCCUGUCGUGAUUAUUUGAUGUUCAAGGGAUUUAUUCAUUUGUGAGAAGUGAAAGUAGUAAUUGAAACGUAACAUCACUGACAAUAUUUCAGAGUAUAGGUUCGCCAUGGCAGGGAAACAAAAACAAACUGCACGGAGAUCGAGGAGCAACAUCAAUAAUUCCCAGUCUGCGGGAACCUCCCGGCUCUCCUGCCGUAGCCUGGCCGUGCAUGCCGUCGGAGCGGUGGCCGUAGCGGUGGCCGUGGCUCUCCUCUGCCCCUCUCUCUGGGAGCCGGCCGGUGACCGGGCCGGCCCUGCGGCCGUCACCCAACAGGACCCGGCUGCCGGUGACCUCGGCCGUCCCGUGGCGCUGACUGCUGAGGAGCGACGGCUAGCUGAUCAGCUGUACAAGCAGGAAGGCUUCAAUGUUGUGGCCAGUGAUAAGGUGCCGUUCGUGCGCCGACUGCCCGAUGUGCGGCCGCAGCUGUGUCGCGGUCGGACAUACGACACGGACCUGCCUGCUGCCAGUAUCAUCAUCAACUUCCACAACGAGGUGUGGUCGGCACUGCUGCGAUCGGUCCACUCGGUGCUGGCCCGCACUCCGGCCCACCUGCUGUACGAGAUUCUGCUCAUCGAUGACGCGAGCACCAAGCCGGAGCUUGGCGAGCCGCUGGAGCGGUACGUCUCUGACCACCUGCCGUCCAAGGUGACGCUACACCGACUGAAGGAGCGACAUGGCCUGAUCAGAGGCCGACACUGGGGUGCCCAGCAGGCGUCCGGACCCGUGCUCAUCUUCCUAGACUCGCACGUGGAGCCCUGUGAUACCUGGAUCGAGCCUCUGCUGCAGCGGAUCAAAGACGAGCCUCACGCCCUGGUCUGCCCCGUGAUCGACAACAUCAGGGACACGGACCUGGCUUACCAGCCGGCCGAGCGAGUGGCCGGCGGGUUCACCUGGUCCGGACACUUUGCCUGGAUCGAGGCCGGCGGAGCCGACGGAAAACUGCCCAGCGACGAGGCGGCUCCCGUCAGGUCUCCCGUGAUGUCUGGAGGUCUCUACGCCAUUAGCAGGGAAUAUUUCUGGCACCUGGGAGGCUACGACACUGGAAUGGACGUCUACGGCGGAGAAAACCUCGAACUCUCGUUCAGGACGUGGCAGUGCGGCGGCGUGGUGGAGACUCUGCCCUGCUCCCGGGUCGGCCACAUAUUCCGCGACUUCCAUCCGUACUCGUUCCCGUUCAGCGGUAACCCUCUGGCGGCCAACAUGGCCCGUAUCGCCGCGGUUUGGAUGGACGAGUAUAGCCGCUACUUCUACCUGCACUACCGACAUACAGAGAUGCCCGAGGCCGGUGACGUCACGGCCCGUCGGGAGCUCCGGGAGCAGCUGCAGUGUCACUCCUUCCGCUGGUACCUGGAUAACGUCUACCCCAACAAGAUGCGGCUGGAUGAGGACGUACUGGCGAGCGGCCAGGUGCGCUCGGCCCUGCGGCCGGACCUCUGUAUCGACACGCUGGUGAUCGACCGACAGAUCUUCCUCGGGCUGAACUCGUGCACCCAGCCGGUCGUCUCGGGACAGUACCUGACUCUCAGUAAGCGGGGCGAGCUGCGUCGCGAGGACAACUGCGCCUAUGCCGGCGGCGCCGGGCCCCACGCCGGCACCGUGAUGGCUCCGAUGGCCCCGUGUACGAUCAAAGGGUCGGAGCAGCAGCAGUGGAUCUACGACGGGCAGACUGCUCAUCUGCGCCACAUGGCCACCGGCCUGUGUCUGAACAGCUCCGGGGUGGAGGCCAUGCACCUUCUCUACCUGGCCACCUGUACGGCCGACGUCGGACAGCGGUUCACCUUUGAGAACGGACAGCUGUAGACGAGCGGUGUGCCGCCGGACGGACCAGUAGCUACAGAGGUGGGAACGACAUGGAUGGAGGUAGUCCGUGGUCUGUCCGUGAGACGUGUGGUCUUUGGUCCUUGUGGGUCCUUGUGGUCAGAGGUCCGCGUAGAUCCCAGGUCCAUGGGUUCCUUUCUCCAUGGUCCUUGGACCAAGCGGUUAAUUACCAGGGUACUCCCGGGUCUGUUUGGUCCAGGUCCAUGUUGUCCUUGGCUCAUGCGAUCGUUGAUCCGUGUGGUCUAGCUAGAUCCAUGCGACCAGCGGCUAACGUGGCCCAUGGUUCUCGUGAGUCCUUGGGCCCAAUGCCCCCACCCGUUGAUGAAUGUGGACCGCAGUGCCUUCCCCGCUCCUACGGAGUAUUCAGCUCCCAUGGGAUGCACUCUAAAUCAAAACGCAACCAGUCAAACGGUGGCAUAUCUUUAGGGAGCUGUGCCGAUGAGUAGAUGCGGAUUUUACUAGCUUGAUAACGCUCAUUCCAGCGCAUUUAUUUAUUUAUAUCGGUUCCAAAUGGCAAUACUUCAGACUGCUACGCCUUGAGAAGAGUUGUUGUUUCGUUUUACUCAGUUGGCAGUCAAAUACGGUACAGAAGGCCGUCUUUUGUAUCUGUGCGCACUAUAUAGGAAGAAGAAUAUUUGGUUUCGUCAAGUUGUUGACGACUUUGUUCCUUACGCUUGCGAAACAGCUUCUGGGUAAGCGAUGUGACCUUUAAUCUCAUUGGCAAAGAUCUGAAGCUUUCUUUUUUCGCACACUGCAAAUAAGUCACAAAAAUGUGGGCUUGUACUUUGUUCAUACGAGAUUCCCUUUUGUUACAAGCUUUAUUUAUCAGCAGUGGUAUAUCUAGGCUUUGUUUGAGAUGGGUACAAUGAGUCACCGCUCAAUCAGAAAACAUGCUCGAUGUUUUCUUACCAAACGCAAGUGCCUUACCUUGGCGUGUUACCGAAUUCCUAUUCCUGAAAGGGACGCAAUAUGUGAGUCAUAUCACAGAUCAGCAAGCCUUGCUUUGAGUGUUUAACAGGCCCACAGUUUGCAUUUAGAAACACUAUGGCUAGUUCUAAACAAGUGUGAGUGUGAAGUGUCCUUGUUGUGCCCUUGCCGUCUAGCUCACUUUCUGGGAUCAAGAGCUGCCGUUUCCAAUGGCUGCUGCCGUUUCCAAUGGCUGUGUUGGAGCAGAUAUCCUGGGAAUUGAUAUCGCAUUUCCAUGAUGAAAAACACGCUGUGCGCCGCAUCUAUCCACCGUCAAACGGUCAGAUGUAAGAUCAGAUCGCGCACACUAGACUGUGUUGUGGUGUUUGUUUUCCUCAAUGGGUGCUGUGCUAUCUGUUUGUGGUGGGGGUGCUGAAUUAAUAACUCACUUUUUACUGCCCAAGCAAAUAAUUUGCAUUUGAACGGACAGAAACCACAGUAAAUCAAUAUUCAUACGGAUAGCUUCUACUGGCGUCGUUGUUGUGGUUUGCGAUUAUCUUCAUGUGUGUGCGUUUGUAUUUUCCUGGCGUAGUGCCCAGUUUGGAUGUGAUAUAUUCAAGCUGCGACCUCCACUGCCUCUGCUGAGGGCCGUGGUGCCUUGGCGUUAUCCCCUGCCGCGAUAUAUCUGUGUUAGUAAAUUAUUAUUUAUUGCUAGACGCAUUUGUGUGAGACUAUGCGUGCCCAAACAGGGUUUUCGGCGGAUUCGCCGGGCGGCUAGCCAGCCGUGAUCAUACUUUGGGAGAGUGUGGGUCGUUUUGGUGAGGACCAGGGCAAAAAGAAUUUUGUCCUGGCUUAAGGUGGUAGAUGGUACCUUUUUUGUUACUUUGUGGUCUACUGUGAUUGCAUUUGGAUUUGUUUUGUAACUAUCAUGUCAAUAAACGCGCAUCAGCGUA